rnacentral:lncRNA from 1 species
UUAGAUUUUCAUAAGUUUUUAAAAGUUUUUGGACAUUUUUUUAAAAAAAUUUUUAAGAAUUUUUAAAAAUUUAUUUUCAAAAGUUUUGAAUUGUAUCUAAAUAUUUAAUAUGAAAUCUUAUGAAAUUAAAUACAAAAUCAAAUAAAAAAUAGAAAAAAACAAAUGGCGUGCCUUUGAUUUUAUUUUUUAAAAUUUCGAAUGAGUAAAAUUUUUUUUGAAUUUGGAUUUAUUCGGAUUUAAAAUCCUUUAGGUUUUUGAUUGAAAAAAGAGAAGAGAUGAGAUGUGAGGUGAUGAGAUUUUUGAGUUUUUGAUAAAUUUGUAUUUUAAGUUUGAGAUGUAUUGAAUAAAAAAUUAAGUAUUAAUAAUAAUGAGGAGCGAAGAGAGAAAAUUGGGUGUAAACUUUUAAUUUGGGGAGUUUUGAGAGGGUAGGGUAGAGAGAGUUUCAAAAUGUGUGUGGCUUUGAAUACAAA